rnacentral:rRNA from 1 species
AGCAGUCGCCGCGGGAAUACGGAGGGUGCAAGCGUUAAUCGGAAUUACUGGGCGUAAAGCGCACGCAGGCGGUCUGUCAAGUCAGAUGUGAAAUCCCCGGGCUUAACCUGGGAACUGCAUUUGAAACUGGCAGGCUAGAGUCUUGUAGAGGGGGGUAGAAUUCCAGGUGUAGCGGUGAAAUGCGUAGAGAUCUGGAGGAAUACCGGUGGCGAAGGCGGCCCCCUGGACAAAGACUGACGCUCAGGUGCGAAAGCGUGGGGAGCAAACAGGAUUAGAUACCCCAGUAGUCCCUGUCUCUUAUAC